UACGGAAGGCAGCAGUGGGGAAUAUUGCACAAUGGGCGAAAGCCUGAUGCAGCUAUGCCGCGUGUAUGAAGAAGGCCUUAGGGUUGUAAAGUACUUUCAUCGGGGAGGAAAAAACAAAACUAAUAAUUUUAUUUCUUGACGUUACCCGAAAAAGAAGCACCGGCUAACUCCGUGCCAGCAGCCGCGGUAAUACGGAGGGUGCUAGCGUUAAUCAGAAUUACUGGGCGUAAAGAGCACGUAGGUGGUUUUUUUAAGUCAGAUGUGAAAUCCCUGGGCUUAACCUAGGAACUGCAUUUUGAAACUGAAAUACUAGAGUAUCGUAGAGGGAGGUAGAAUUCUAGGUGUAGCGGUGAAAUGCGUAGAUAUCUGGAGGAAUACCUGUGGCGAAAGCGGCCUCCUAAACGAAUACUGACACUGAGGUGCGAAAGCGUGGGGAGCAAACAGGGAUUAGAUACCCUUGAACUGCCAAGGCAC
rnacentral:rRNA from 1 species